CAGCAGCUACUCACUAGCCGGCUGCCUUCCGCUCCUCACCUUCCCGCGCCGGCUCUUCAUUUUGUCCCUCUUCGUCAUCCUUUUCCUCCAGUAGCGGACACAGAAGAAAAAUCUGGGCGAGUGCAAACAGGAUAAGAAAACAGCCAGUGACUGAGGACGUUGAUGAGGAGAGGAAAGCCGUGAGGUGUGGCGGCGGGGGAGGCAGGCGGCGUCAGUACUUGAAAGGGCGAAGUUGUUUUACCCUGAAUGCUUUAAAAACACCGUGACCCCAACCAGGCCAGCAGCAUUUCAGACCUGACGGGGAAGUGCUCCAUAAGUUUCUGUAAGGCAUCCGCAGCCACAGCCGCGGAGGGUCGUGACGGGGAGCGGGGGACGACGAGGGAGAAUAGGAGGAGGAAGCGGGGAUCCCACACGUCAGGAAUUUCGCUGGGCAAGCCGCAUGGAAAACCCUCCAAAGACUGAAGAGAAAACAGCAACAGAAAAUCGGUGUGACUUCUACAAGUUCCUCUUCAAAAGUGGCCCAAGUUUCAAAGAGAACGGUGGGGAGCUAAGCUGGAAAGAAGGCAGCAGAAGAUAGAGCUUAGUUGAUGAUCAGCUGCAUGGUGGUGACUGGCCAGCAAGGAGGAAACCGAGUCAUGUACCACCAAGGGAGUAGGAAUAUUCAACUUGGUGUCCUUGCUCCUUCGAGGUGUGGUUCAGGGAGGAUGCUGCCAGGCCUAACAAGCCACAUCUGUACAGACCUGGAGGGUGUUACAGGAGAAGAGGCUCAUGGUCAGAAGGUACCUG